GAGCGCAGGAGUAAACACCGCCGGAGUCUUGGAGCCGCUGCAGAAGGGAAUAAAGAGAGAUGCAGGGAUUUGUGAGGUUACGGCGCCCCAGCUGCAAGAUGCACUAGCCGGCUGAACCCGGGGAUCGGCGGCUGACUUGUUGGAACCGGAGUGCUCUGCACGGGAGUGUGGAUGAGUUGAAGUUGCUUUCCCGGGGCUCGUUUUCCACGCUGCCGAGAGGAAUCCGAGAGGCAAGGAAAUCACUUCGCCUUGCCAUUGAUUGGGCAUCGGGAGCUUUUUUUUUCUCCCCUCUCUUUCUUUUCCUCCGUCUUGUUGCAUGCAAGAAAAUUACAGUCCGCUGCUCGCCCGCCCUGGGUGAGAAAUAUUCAGCCCCGCUUUCUCCCGUCCAUUGUGCAAGCCAAAGAUGAAAGACCGAAGGGGAGAAAGUUAAAGAAAUCGCCCACAUGCGCUGGAUCAGUCCACGGCUUGGGGAAAGGCAUCCAGAGAAGGUGGGAGCGGAGAGUUUGAAGUCUUUACAGGCGGGAAGAUGGCGGACUGGAGCUGAAAGUGUUGAUUGGGAAACUUGGGUGAUCCUCGUGUUUAUUUACAACCCUCUUGACCCAGGCAGGACACAUGCAGGCCAAAAAACGCUAUUUCAUCCUGCUCUCAGCUGGCUCUUGUCUCGCCCUUUUGUUUUAUUUCGGAGGCUUGCAGUUUAGGGCAUCAAGGAGCCACAGCCGGAGAGAAGAGCACAGCGGUCGGAAUGGCUUGCACCACCCGAGUCCGGAUCGUUUCUGGCCCCGCUUCCCGGACGCUCUGCGCCCCUUCGUUCCUUGGGAUCAAUUGGAAAACGAGGAUUCCAGCGUGCACAUAUCCCCCCGGCAGAAGCGAGACGCCAACUCGAGCAUCUACAAAGGCAAGAAGUGCCGCAUGGAGUCCUGCUUCGAUUUCACCCUUUGCAAGAAAAACGGCUUCAAAGUCUACGUGUACCCGCAGCAGAAAGGGGAGAAAAUCGCCGAAAGUUACCAAAACAUUCUAGCGGCCAUCGAGGGCUCCAGGUUCUACACAUCGGACCCCAGCCAGGCGUGCCUCUUUGUCCUGAGUCUGGAUACUUUAGACAGAGACCAGUUGUCACCUCAGUACGUGCACAAUUUGAGAUCCAAAGUGCAGAGUCUCCACUUGUGGAACAAUGGUAGGAAUCAUUUAAUUUUUAAUUUAUAUUCCGGCACUUGGCCUGACUACACCGAGGACGUGGGGUUUGACAUCGGCCAGGCGAUGUUGGCCAAGGCCAGCAUCAGUACUGAAAACUUCCGACCCAACUUUGAUGUUUCCAUUCCCCUCUUUUCUAAGGAUCAUCCCAGGACAGGAGGGGAGAGGGGGUUUUUGAAGUUUAACACCAUCCCUCCUCUCAGGAAGUAUAUGCUGGUAUUCAAGGGGAAGAGGUACCUGACAGGGAUAGGGUCAGACACCAGGAAUGCCUUAUAUCACGUCCAUAACGGAGAGGACGUGGUGCUCCUCACCACCUGCAAGCAUGGCAAAGACUGGCAAAAGCACAAGGAUUCUCGCUGUGACAGAGACAACACCGAGUAUGAGAAGUAA